CAACUUCCGGGCAGAAGGAAGAGACAGAGGAAGGAGAAAAAAAAGUGACCAGAGGCAAGGUGCAAGGAGCAGGAAACCAAGAGAAAGCUUAUACCUCCAGACAGAAUGCAAAGGCAAAAAUAAUUGGCAUCUCUGUAAUAGCAUGGAUUUAUAAAGGUGAUAUGAUAUGCCUCCUGGGCUGGCUCUCUGAGAAGCAGAUAAAAUUCUGUCCCCGUACAAACCUGCAGGGAAGAGCUGAUUCAACCAGGUGGUAAAGCUGUUCUGGAAAGUGUCCUCAUCAAAUCAGCAGUGGGAUACCCUGCAUUUUUGGUCACAAAAAAAAACUACAGGUGAGUUCUGCUCUAAUAGUUUAUGUCCUGGAAAUUCAACUUUAUAUCUGCGCAGCUGGAG
rnacentral:lncRNA from 1 species